UGUGUGUCCUCGGCCCCAUUCAUUUGCUAGAUGUUUUUCUUCUUUGAUCUGUUGAUAAUGGUGUGCAUUUAGGAGAGGUAUUCAGCUGAUCAGGCUUCGAUAUUCUAUCAAGGAAUUUGAAUAAAUACAAUUAUUUCUUAUUUUCUAGUAUGGAAUAGCUAAAGGGUUUAGACAUAGAAAAAGCAUGGGGAAAAAAGGAAUUUCAGGGCUUCCUUUAAUAGAGCUUUACAAUGCAGUCAGUAAAUCUGGGCUUGUUAAUGGCAUGUUCCUAAUAGCUACAAUUAGGGCCUCUGCUGACUUUACCUUUGAAUUGAAAAUAAUUUUUUUAAAUGAACCUUUCAAUAUUAAAUUUUUGUUGCCAUGUUGUGGACUUUGUUGAUCCUAGUUUUUAUAUGAACUCUAUCUUUCCUAAGUGGAAGGCAGAGAUGUCGUAUAAUAUCUUUUUAAAGCACAACCAGUGUUCAUCAGUCAACAGAUUUUUUGGCAAAAGAAAUAUUCCUGGUUAUUAAUACUGGUGGAGGGAAAAUGAAUGUAUUUUUUUGAACACAAGUAAGGAAAAAUCAUUCCAAUACUUUUUUGAGAGGUGGGUCUGUUUUUAUAAUUUUUUAACCAUGCUUGCUCCCUAGGAGAGUUGGUUGCAGAGAAAGAGUGGUACAGCAAGAUAAUUCCAUGUUCUCUCCCAGCCUCUGCCUAGCAAAAGGGAAGUGUGCUGGAGAUUUAUUCUGUUGCCUGGAGGUGACUGACUGACUUCUUCAUGCCCCUGGAGUGGUGCAGGUGGGCCAGAACACUUGCACCAGCACCCUGGGUUAACUUUUUUUUUUUUUUUUUUUUGUGAGAACAAGUGCCUGAGUGACCUGGUUAGCAAGCAGUGUGCUUUACUUAUUAAGCAGUGACUAAUACAAUGUAAAGGAUUAAUUUUGAUUUCUCCACCACCCGCUUCCCUGUCCCCCACCCCCCUUGUAUACUCAUCACUGCUUUUUUCUUCUCAGUCUGUUACAGUCUAGCUGAAAUGCUUAUAUUUUUUUUUCCUUUGCUCCCGAAACAACUCUGGACCAUUCCCUUUUUUAUCUUAGUUUGCUGGAUUCUCUUUGCAUUAUAGAUCAUCUUUGUCCGAAAAGCGGUGCCAACAGCCACUCCCAGUGCCAUUCCUACACAGUAUGUGUCUUGUCCCCGAUCUGGUCACAUGUUUCCCAUGUUAGGUGUGGUGCUGAAUGUGCUAAACAGAACUCUAGAGACAAAGGAGAAAUGACCAAAACCCAUGGCCUUAAAUUCAUGGCUCUCUACCAGCCCCUUCAUGCAGAACUCCCAUGAAAAGUCAGUAUUUCUAUGCAUCCAGUGCUGGCAGGACCAAGCUCUCAAAAUCAGAUAACAUUCAGAUCCCCAGUACAGUAUUUAUGGCAUCAAUGGGGUGAGUUCGUCUGCAUUUCAAGGCAGAAUGCAUUCAUCUGUACUUUCUCCUGGCUUUUGUUCCCCCUCCAAAAAAAGAAGAAGAAAAAAAACACAUUAGCAGAGCCAUGUUACUGCUUCCUGCUUCUGUUGUUUAGUGUUUUGUAGCUACCACGGCUGGCCAAGAAGCUGUAAAUCUUGCCUGGUGUUCUGUAACAAAGAGAAAAAUAGAAUGAUUUGUGUUGACUUUUGGUCAUCGUGCAUCAUUAUCGAUCCGAGGGAGGGCGGCGGGGGAACGCGUUACCGUGUUAUCUGUUGCUCGCCAGUUCUCCGGGAAGGCGGCGUUACCCAGCAGUCAGUAGAGGGCAAUAGAGAAAUACAGUUUUGUGAUACCUAAAGGAUUUGAAGCCCUGAUUAUGUGUUUACAGAAAAGAAAAAGAAGAAAAGAAGAGCCAGGAGGAUAGGUUGUUCAGUUUACUACCGGAGACCUGAAUGUGACAGACCACCAAGGAAACAAAAUUUUCUAAGAGAGUAAAGAAGUCCUUCUGCGGCAUCUGCAAGGGUCUCCUUUUUUCUUCGGAGUUACGUGGGAUAACUUAGCCAGAACUUAUUGAUGUCUGCAUGUUCAGUGGACUCGGGAAUGGACUGGGAAAUGCGGAAAGGCACUCUUUAGAAGGAACAGAAGAGGAGGCAUUUCAAAAAUCCUGCAGGUGACCGAGGCUAGGUCUGGGCCUGUGCCUUCCUCAUCAGCAUGCCUAUUAAUGUUUUCAAGACUGAGGACAUGAGGAGGAUGAGGUGUUUUUCACAACAGUGAAAAGAUGCCAGUACAAGGAUUGAGACCAAAAGUGGCCAGACUUCAGACAAAGAAGGAAUAGGAAAGUUGCUGAGGUCUCUAGACAGGUGUCUGGUAACAGUCCCACCAAGGUGGAAGUGAAAGUGUCUCGCAACUCAGCCUCUUGUUCCUAGUGCCUUUGGAGGCAGCUUCUAGCAUGACACAUCCCAUCUUUGCCUCUCCAGAGUAUGAGACUGCUUGCUUCAUUCUCUGAAGGGUCUAGUGCUGGUAUUUUAGACACUAGCUUUCAGCAUUGCUGAACAACAACUAGAGUUCCCAGCAACACUGCCUUGGACAGCCCUGCUUGUUGGGAGAAGAUGAAAAAGGAGCUUCCUACCUGGGUACCUUGGGAGGGAAGUGACCUUUGUGGUUGGAGGAAUGCAGACAACAUGCCGAAAGUCCCACUGCUUUCUUGUGCUGGGAAAUCCUUCAGCUUGACUGGAGUCAGAGGAAACCUGGUCUUUGUCCCCACACAAGGUCACACUGCAGUCUUGGGAAUCAAUUCUCUUAGAUAAACCAGAGGCUUCCUCCCAAUGGACACUCUCAUGCUCUAUCAAGCAGCUUUUAUUCAGGAAAUUUUUUCCACUGAUUGGGUAUCAGCUGAUUGUUACUGAAGUACUGGGGUACUGGAGAGCUGGAUGAUGAGAUGCCUGACCUGUGGCUGCCCAAUCUCAUGCUGCUUCCUCUCUGCAAUAAAGCUCCUACACUGACAUCCAUUUAGUUAUCUAACCAUGGGCUAACUUUUUUUCGUUUUUUUUUUCUGAGGUGUUGUGGAAUUUGUUUCCAGUAGGCGUAUUACUUGAUUAAUGAUCUUUCUGUUAACACUUGCUCAUAUUCCAUAUGGGAUCUUCUUGGGCUAUCUAAAUGCACAAAAUACUUAGAACAAUAUUUUUUUCUUAUCUCAUCUCUGUUUUUAAUAACACUAUUUAUUUCUCACUCCUCCAAAGAAAAAAGAGCAUUUUCUAGCUUGCCCAAGCUCACAUUGAAUGUUUCUUGUGAUUCAUGUUGUCACCUUGUGCAGUAUUCCAAGAAAACAGAGCAUGGACAGGCUCUGUCAGGAAGGGUUUUGUAAUGUAUUUGUCAUUUCUUUUCUGUAUAGAUUAAGGGCUAAAUUUUGUGAUGGCAGAUGAAUUUGUAGGCCCCAUCUCUUUGAAAUCACACCAGCUAUUCAAAAGAGACAAGCUGCUUUUCUUUCAGCCCAUGAUAGUAGCGCUUCCCUGGAUGCAAGUCGAAAAAUAUUUACAUCAGUAUAAAUAAGCAGUGUGUAACUAUAAAUAAAGAACACGGGUAAUAAAGCGUUAUCAUUGAAGUUGAAAUUAAAAUUGGAUCCUGCCAAGCCCUAAACAUAGAUCAUGACAGAAAAAUCCAAUAAGGUUUUUUUGCUUGUUUGUUUGUAGGUGCUGUAAUUAUAGACUAGAUAAAAGAAAGAAAGGAUUACACAGCAGACAUAAUUUGCAAUGAUUACAGUAACAUUUCUGAUGCAAUGCCAUGAAAAGAAUGACUACUUGUGCAUGGCAUCUACACAUGCAUCUACAUCCCUCCUCAGGGAGGUGCCCCCUGCAGCACUUACCUCUUAACCAGAGCCAUGUCACAGGCUGUAUGACCAUGGGCUAUGUGACCACAGCCUGUAUGACCACGGGCCUGUUUCCAAAGAAGACACUCUGGUGUGCACUGGGUGACUUCUGCUAUAGGGUUGUCCCCGAACCUGAUUCCCUGCAGCUCGAUCCCCCCACCCAGGGGAGCCCCUGUUGUAUGGUAAAUUAAGAAGCCCUGGGGCAGAGGAAUAUGUUGACUGUCUCUAAACACAAGACGUUUAUCUUGAAUUAAGUUACUUCUUUAUCACCAGUGCUUGGUCCAAGCACUGUGCCCUCCACUGGCAGAGCAGGAAAAGAUUUGCUUCCAUUGGGAACAUGGACUGUUGUGAAAAAGUGCAGUUGUGCUCAGAAAAGCCCUCAGAGAUGAUCACGCAAAAACAGAAAGCAUUUCGUUUUAGUUACCAAGAGUGAAGUCUCUUGUUGCUUUUCUGGAAACCAAGGCUUGAGGGCAAAAGCAAUUUCUUGUACUUCAAUAUCUGAAAAUAAAGCCUUAAAAAAGAACAUGUCAAGGAAUUAAAUGAGAACCACAAAUUUAGCAGGGCUAGUGAUUGCCCAGGAGAAUAUUGAGGUGAAAUGUAUAGAAAAGAGGAGGCUAGAGACACAGUUAAGUGAAUUACUAGUCCCAUCUGUAACACCUGUCAUAGUCCUGACUGCUGGGUAUUUACUUUCAAAGAAAUCACCUUGCACUACGAGUUGCUGAAGAGCCCUAAAUCAGCUGUGCAGGCGCAAUUACUGAAAAUGAAUCUGUCAGACCAAAUCUCAGGUAAUCAAGGAGUCCUGUUUUGGCUCCCCUCCUGUACACAUCCUUGCCUUAGGGAUAACCAAAACCAGUGUUCCUCAAAUCUACUGGGAAUGAGCAAAAUAGGUACAAGGUAGACUUACUAAGAAGGUUAAAGGAACUUUAGGAUGCUUGCCACAAGCUGAUAAUGGCAUCUGGGAGUCAGCCAUCCACAGAGGCAUGUCAAACAGUGUUUUUCUUUGUAUCUCUAUGAAAAGAAUCAGGAUUAUUUUAGUGCCAAACAGCAGACAUAAUCUGAUGAAAUUUUCAGAAGCACCGUCAGCCCCUGAUAGAAAACAUAUGCCCACAGCUUCUCGCACCUUCUUCCAGUAGCAGGUACGUGUUCUGAUAGGGUUUCAGUGUGCAGUGCAUGACAGAUGAUUUGUAAACUGAGUAUUCCUGAGGAAUGGGCAUGACACUCUCAUUUGAUUCUCUGAACUCAGUCCAUUGACUACUGUCUCUGAGUAAAGACUUUUUUUAUUAACUAGACAUCUAUUUAGAUGUACCGUUCUUAUUACAGACGAGAUUCUCCCCGACUUUUCCUUUGUCUUUAAGCUAUGCAAGUUUCUGUAGGAAACUAUGCAUGAAUAUAUAAAAGGCUAUGGACAAUAUCAAGAAAUGAAUAUGCUAACAUUUCUGGUUUUCAGACACAUUUUGCUUGCGUUUAGUUUUUUG